rnacentral:rRNA from 1 species
AAUGAACGUUGGCGGCGUGGAUUAGGCAUGCAAGUCGCGCGAUUUCCUUCGGGGAAGAGCGGCGGAAGGGAGAGUAACGCGUAGAUACCUACCCUCGGGACUGGAAUAGCGACGGGAAACUGUCGGUAAUGCCAGAUAACGUCCCUGGACCAAAGGUGUGAAUCCGCCUGAGGAGGGGUCUGCGUCCUAUUAGCUAGUUGGCGGGGUAACGGCCCACCAAGGCGAAGAUGGGUACCGGGCGCGAGAGCGUGACCCGGCUCACUGGGACUGAGACACUGCCCAGACACCUACGGGUGGCUGCAGUCGAGAAUCUUCGGCAAUGAGCGCAAGCUUGACCGAGCGACGCCGCGUGCGGGAUGAAGGCUUUCGGGUUGUAAACCGCUGUCAGUGGGGAGGAAAUUCUUGGGGGUACUCCCCCUUGAUUGACCGAUCCGCAGAGGAAGGACGGGCUAAGUUCGUGCCAGCAGCCGCCGUAAAAC